UGCGGGGUGGAGCAGCCCGGUAGCUCGCAAGGCUCAUAACCUUGAGGUCGGUGGUUCAAAUCCACCCCCCGCAUCCA
rnacentral:tRNA from 1 species